UACAGGGGGGGCAAGCGUUGUUCGGAAUUACUGGGCGUAAAGGGCUCGUAGGUGGCCAACUAAGUCAGACGUGAAAUCCCUCAGCUUAACUGGGGAACUGCGUCUGAUACUGGAUGGCUUGAGUUUGGGAGAGGGAUGCGGAAUUCCAGGUGUAGCGGUGAAAUGCGUAGAUAUCGGGAGGAACACCAGUGGCGAAGGCGACUUCCUGGCCUGUUCUUGACGCUGAGGCGCGAAAGCUAGGGUAGCAAACGGG
rnacentral:rRNA from 1 species